UAGCUAUCCUAAUUAAAAAAAAAAAAAAAAAACUUACCCCAACCUACUCUAAACCCCUCAUCUUCCAGUUACCUCUCUUCAUCAAUCCUAGUCAGAGCCAACCAUCUAAACUUUCUGUUUCCACGUCUGUACUUUCCCACUCACCUCUGAACCCACUUCAAAUUGGUUUUGAACAAAAACAGCUCUUACCAAAGUCUCCAAUAAUCUGCAUGUCAUUAAAUCUGAUGGACAUUUUUAAGUCUCUACCUUAUUUGACAUUUCAGCAGCCAUCAGAGCCUCUUCUCUCCUUGAAGCACUCUUUGCCCCUGUGCUCCACUAGCCCAUUCUGUUGGUUUUUAUCCUGCCUUCUGGUCUCUCCUGACUCCUUUUCAAGACCACCUUUCUUAACCCAGCCACCCCUUGGUUGGAGUUCCUAAGGUUCAGACUCUAUUCUUCUACCAUAGUGUAUCCUUCUUCCCUAGCGACGCUCAUAUCUAGGGUUAGAGCUUCAAAAUCUCCCAAAUUAAUUUACCUUCAGUUAAGAAUUCUUUAUAUGCCAGCCCCAUAUCAUGUGCCUACAGACAACUCCAUCUGGAUAUGAUAAAAGAUCUGAAAAUGCACUUGUACUAAAGUCCAACUUAAAAUCUUUCUUUUCUACUUAAACUCUUUCAGUGUUCCCUACUCAGGAACUAUUAAUCAGAAAGGAAAUCUAUUGAAUUUGAGGAAGAUUUCAUUGUGUUUAAAAUAACGUGUGUUUAAAAUAAGCAAAUUCGGAGGGAACCGUUGGAGGAAAACUACAAGAUGUUUACAGUGGUAUAACCACAGAUGUGUGAUGAGUCAAAACUAAGUUGGAGUUGAACCAAAUGGGUUUUGUGAGAGACUGAACCACACAGGUAGCCUUGGUUACAGGAACUCCUACCUCGCGUUAACAGUCUGAAAAAAGCCACAUGUAAAUUAAGUAAAGGGUACUGUGGGGGUAGAACGACACAUGGUUUAACUCACUGCAACUGGGAGAGAGAACAGGGAAGGGUUUAGCAGUAUCUACUGCUAAAGAGAUCACACAUGACGAUCCUGGCUAAUAUAUAAUUUGUUAAAAAGUAAUACUACUGAGAAAUUAUAAAUUUGCUGACUUAAUGAACACUAGAGAUCUGCUGUUUUUCUCUUUGAUUUGAUCAUAAACUGUAUUUAAAAACCCCUAAAUAUUGGCAAAUCUGUACUAUCUCCCCUGUUCUACCUAGUAAAUGUUACGCAAUUAAAAAACCCCAGGCUAGGAGACCUCAGAGCUCAUCCUCCUCAUGUAGUAGCUUCUGUGAACUGCUGUUAAUGUUUUGUGACCUUGUUUGCUCCUUCUUCCCAUUAAUAGGAUACAGAAACAAACUCUGCCUUCUUCCCAUUAAUAGGAAAGGUCAAAUCUGCCCAAAGAAGAAUAAAUAAUUUUUUAAAAGAUAUUCACACUAUACUUCAAAAAAACAGCUUCAUUUGACAACUAGUUACACAAGCCCAAAUACAAGAAGUCAUUCUUCAUACUGCCUUCUCUUUGAUCUACCAUUCCUAAAGCAUCACCAAAUUCCCUCAGUUUGACCUAAGUAUAUUUCAAAACUGUCCACUUACCUCUAUCUCAAAAGAUACCACCCUGAUCUUAGCCACUAUCUUUUCUUACCUUUAUUAUUGUAAUAGAAUACUAAGAUGUCUCCUUUUAUUCACUUUGGUCCUCAUACAACCUUUUCAUCUACAGUUACAAUGACCCUUUGAAAACAAAUCUGAUGUCACUGACCUUACUGAACCUCUUCAAUAUUCUUAAAAUGGCCUACAGGGCCACACAUGUUCUGGCUCCCACCUGCUCUGUACCCUUACCCUUGGCCAGAGCUCCAGCCAUGUGAGGCUUCUCUCAGUUACACCUGAAUUCUCUAGGCUCCCCACUGCAACAGCAUUUUUGUACAAACUGGUAUGUACCUCCUAAUUACCACUCUGAUCUACCUUAAGUGUCAUGUUACUAGGGACACUGUUUCUAGCCCUUUAAUACUUUCAUGGAACUAUAUUCUUUUGCUUCAGAAAACAAAUUUCAAUUUGCAAUUAUUCAUUAAUGGAAUUAUUGUUCUUAGUGAAUGUACUUUUAUUAGAUUCUGAGCUUCCUGGCAACAGUUACCUUUUGUUUAUUUUCCUCACUGUAAACCCGGUUUUUAGCACAGAACCUGGCACAUAGUAAGUACUCAGGAAAUGUUAGCCAAGUAAAUGAAUGAAUUAAUGAGUGGGCCUUAUCACCAAAAUUAUCCAAGUAGAACAAUGCAAUAGAGGUUACUAUUUUGUCUUCUUUGGAAAGAUUCAAAAUGAUGAAAAUAUAUUCCCACUCAGUUGACAUGUCUGUCUACUGAGUAAGAAAGUUAGAUGAUAAAAUUUUAUAAAGUCCUAUGCCUUCCCAUUCCUAUUUUUCUUUUUUCUUCCCUGUAGCCUGAAAUUAAUGUUAUUCCUUCAUCUCUGCUUUAGAGAGGCAACAUUACUUGCAUAAGGUCCCAGAAAUAAAAAGUGGAAUAGCCAGGACCUGAACCAAUAGUGUUCUGGUUGCAAAUAUAGUCAACCCUCCAUAUCCAUGGGUUCCACAUACAUGGAUUCAGGCAACUACGGAUUUACAAUAUUUAUUUAAAAAAGGGAUAGUUGCAUCUGUACUGAAUGUGUACAGAGUUUUUUUCUUUCUUGUCAUUAUUCCCUAAACAAUAUAGAAUAACAACUAUUUACAUAGCAUUUACAUUGUAUUUGGUAUUACAAGGAAUCAAGAAAUGAUUUAAAGUAUACAGGAGGUUAUGUACAGGUUGUAUGCAAAUACAACACCAUUUUAUAAAAGGGACUUAAGCAUCUCUGGAUUUUGGUAUCCACUGGGGGUCCUGGAAUCAAUCCCCUACAGAUAUGAGGAACAACUGCAUUGAAUUUUUUUCACUCUACCAAAUGGAAUUUCCUGCAUUUUGUUAUUUUUUUACAGAAUUGUUUGUUAAAGAAUUUCAAGAAUAUUUGACUAUAAGUACUAACUUGGGAUCUUAUCUAGUGAUAUAAAAGCAAUAAAGUGAAUAGUUAGCCAAACAACGAAAUACAGAUUUUUAAAGAAUAAAACAAGAAACUCUGAGCUGCCCAAAUGUUGCUGACCUUUCUAAUCUUUGUUUUGUUUCAAACGUUUUAGCAAAGUUUAUUUAAGGCACUUCAAGACUACGAGGUCCUUCAAAAGCAAUCACAUUGGAAAAAAGCUUACUAUCAGUUUCUCUUGCUUUCAUUUCCUUCCCUGUAAGGACUAAAUCCCAACAUUGGGCAUAUGCGUUACACUAGUAGCUAUGCCUUCAACUAUCUCACUUCUUUAACAAUGCAAAAAAUUCACCUUGCCAGAGAAUAAAUUUGGAUUAACAAACCAUUCCAAAGCCUUUAACAUUAUCGAUAGGAUGAUAUACAAAAAUAUAGUGCUGAUAUAGAAAAUCAGAGUAAUGCCAAAUAGCACCUUAAAAAUUUCUAAUUUCCAAUAUUACCUAUUAACAUUCCUUUCAUAUACUCUUUGUAAGAUUCCUUUGUUACCCAUCAUUGUGACUGUCCCAAAUGUGUAUCAUUCCUCUCAUGCUUUUCUACUACAACCCCAAUGCUUAUCAUUUUUUCACCAAAUAACCCUGUAUCCUGCUUCACAGAGAAAAGAGAGACCCAAAAGCAAAUUUCCCUAAUUUCUCUACCCUCUCUCUCAAAUGUAUCUACACUUCUAAUUCUCCCAUUUUUGGUUUCUAGAACAUGAUUGUCCUACAUCUUAUGCUAUUUCCAAUUUGUCUGAGGCCCUCUCUAAUUUCUCUCAUUAUCUCCCCCAACUACCCCCCUUCCCACCGCUCCCACACACACACGGCACACAUGUAUGCCUAGGAUUCUGUCCUUGGUCCAUUUUAUUCAUUUAAUCUAUGCUUUCUCCUUAGGUGAUUUCAUCUAUCCUAAGCUUCAGCUGCUACUUUUAUGCCACAAUACCCAAAGCUCUCCCUGUGCUUCAAUUUUCUAUUUUUUUUUUUUUACUCUGAUCCAUGGUUCCAACCAAAUAUGAGACAUGUCCCUCUCCCUCAAUGUCUUGCAAGAAUCUCAAACUUCAUUUAUUGAAAGAUAAAUUCUUUAUCUUCUUCCCUACUCCAACUUUUUCUUCUUCUUGAAUUCUCCAUCUUGGUUAACAUUUUCCAAUCUAGAAAUCUCAGUCACUACUGACAACUCAUUCUCUCCUAUCUCCAAUUACCAAGCUAACAUAAUGACCAUCGACUAUACUUCAGAAAUGUCUAGCCAGCUCAUCCCUUUCUGUUCUGUUCCACAGUUCAGAACCUUCUCAGCCUCGCCUAGAUUAUUACAAUAGAUCUCCAUAAAUCUGUCUAUACAACUCCAUUUAUUUUAUACUGCCAUUUGAAUAUAUCUUGAUCAGAACAUCUAUAUAUUAAAAAAAGAAACACAUUCCAAACCCAUAGAGAAUAAACUUAAAAAGGCACAAUCGUAUUUUAAUGUAGCACCUCAGCUUCUUUUCCUGAUAUUCAAUUUCAUACAUACCCAAUAUUCCAAACAUAAGACACUUCUUUUAUUACCUAGACUGUCCAACCCCGUGACAUUGGACAUGUUACCUCUUCUUGCUUACAUGUGUCUCCUUCAUUAAAUGAAUACUUAAAGAGCGGGAAUUGCUCACAUACCCACAUUUGUUCCUCAGCUGGCAGUUGCUGGCACAUAGCAGUAGAAGCUGAAAGAUACAUCUCAAUAGAUACUAAGCCAAGACACAUUUUCUUUAUCACAUACUAAUUUAAUAAUAUAUAAUUAAUUUUAUUCUUUGUUUUUUCUUUUAGUUACUUCAGACAAGUUUUCAGAUUCAAGGUAUUUUUUAUUUAUUAUUAAAACAAUAUAAUAGGGGAGGGAUGGGGACAAGGGUUGAAAGCUACCUAUUGGGUAUGAUGUUUACACAAUUGAGAAUUGUUGGAUGAGAGGAUCAUUAGAAGUCCAAACUUUAGCAUCACACAAUAUACCCAUGUAACAAGCCUGCACAUGUACCGCCUGCAUCUAAAAACACAUCACCACAUGAAACUAAUACUGAAGAAAUGCUAAAAAUGGUACCUUGGCAAAGGUGUAAAUUCACUAAUUAUGC
rnacentral:lncRNA from 10 species